rnacentral:sRNA from 1 species
GCAAGGAACAAGUGGCGCGCUCCAGCGAUUAUCUCGAUGGACAACUGAGCUUUCGUGAACGCCUGAUGGUGCGUCAUCACUUGAUGUUCUGCCCCAAUUGCCGACGCUUCAUCCGUCAGAUGCGCCUGAUGCAGGCGACCCUCAAAAAGCUUCCUGAAGCCCCCGUUCCCGACCUGGAUAACCUCGCCGAGAAACUCGCCGCCGAGCGUCGCAGAAACAUCCGCUGACACCUGACACAUCACCCCCCCAUGGUG